rnacentral:lncRNA from 1 species
CCCACAAACCGCACAAUCAUUACCCCAGACAAAAGGCUGUAAGCCCACAGGCGGUGAGUUCGUUGGGCAACGAAUCUUCAUCAAUCUCUACCAAUUUUUGCGUGAAAGGUUGAGACUUAUUUCUUGGCAAGACUUCCACCUGCCUGCUGGUUACGUCCUUUUACAUGCUUGGCACCAACGCCUUCCCACAUGAUUUACCAAGAGAGAGAAACCAUUUAAUACACGGAAACAAAGGAGGUAUCGUUAGAGCUGAGCAAAUAAUCAAAAUUCAAAAAAAUUUAUUCA